rnacentral:rRNA from 1 species
GACGAGCGCUGGCGGCGUGCUUAACACAUGCAAGUCGAACGGAAAGGCCCUGCUUUUGUGGGGUGCUCGAGUGGCGAACGGGUGAGUAACACGUGAGUAACCUGCCCUUGACUUUGGGAUAACUUCAGGAAACUGGGGCUAAUACCGGAUAGGAGCUCCUGCUGCAUGGUGGGGGUUGGAAAGUUUCGGCGGUUGGGGAUGGACUCGCGGCUUAUCAGCUUGUUGGUGGGGUAGUGGCUCACCAAGGCUUUGACGGGUAGCCGGCCUGAGAGGGUGACCGGCCACAUUGGGACUGAGAUACGGCCCAGACUCCUACGGGAGGCAGCAGUGGGGAAUAUUGCACAAUGGGCGGAAGCCUGAUGCAGCAACGCCGCGUGCGGGAUGACGGCCUUCGGGUUGUAAACCGCUUUCGCCUGUGACGAAGCGUGAGUGACGGUAAUGGGUAAAGAAGCACCGGCUAACUACGUG